UACGGGGGGAGCAAGCGUUGUUCGGAUUUACUGGGCGUAAAGGGCGCGUAGGCGGCCAGCACAAGUCAGUUGUGAAAUCUCCGAGCUUAACUCGGAAAGGUCAACUGAUACUGUGCGGCUAGAGUGCAGAAGGGGCAACUGGAAUUCUCGGUGUAGCGGUGAAAUGCGUAGAUAUCGAGAGGAACACCUGCGGCGAAGGCGGGUUGCUGGGCUGACACUGACGCUGAGGUGCGAAAGCCAGGGGAGCAAACGGG
rnacentral:rRNA from 1 species